GUUGGUAAGGUAACGGCUUACCAAGGCUAUGAUGUUUAGGGGUCCUGAGAGGGUGGUCCCCCACACUGGUACUGAGACACGGACCAGACUCCUACGGGAGGCAGCAGUGAGGAAUAUUGGUCAAUGGGCGCAAGCCUGAACCAGCCAUCCCGCGUGCAGGAAGACGGCCCUAUGGGUUGUAAACUGCUUUUCCAGGGAGAGAAACUUACGCACGUGUUGCGUGACUGACGGUACCCUGGGAAUAAGCAUCGGCUAACUCCGUGCCAGCAGCCGCGGUAAUACGGAGGAUGCAAGCGUUAUCCGGAUUCAUUGGGUUUAAAGGGUGCGUAGGCGGGCUAUUAAGUCAGUGGUGAAAUCCUGCAGCUUAACUGCAGAACUGCCGUUGAUACUGAUAGUCUUGAGUUUGGUUAAGGUAGGCGGAAUGUGUAAUGUAGCGGUGAAAUGCUUAGAUAUUACACAGAACACCAAUUGCGUAGGCAGCUUACUGAGCCGACACUGACGCUGAGGCACGAAAGCGUGGGGAUCAAACAGGAUUAGAUACCCUGGUAGUCCACGCCGUAAACGAUGAUUACUCGCUGUUGGCGAUACACUGUCAGCGGCUAAGCAAAAGCAAUAA
rnacentral:rRNA from 1 species